rnacentral:rRNA from 1 species
GAUGAACGCUGGCGGCGUGCCUAAUACAUGCAAGUCGAGCGAACAGAUGAGGAGCUUGCUCCUCUGACGUUAGCGGCGGACGGGUGAGUAACACGUGGAUAACCUACCUAUAAGACUGGGAUAACUUCGGGAAACCGGAGCUAAUACCGGAUAAUAUAUUGAACCGCAUGGUUCAAUAGUGAAGGACGGUUUUGCUGUCACUUAUAGAUGGAUCCGCGCCGCAUUAGCUAGUUGGUAAGGUAACGGCUUACCAAGGCAACGAUGCGUAGCCGACCUGAGAGGGUGAUCGGCCACACUGGAACUGAGACACGGUCCAGACCCCUACGGGAGGCAGCAGUAGGGAAUCUUCCGCAAUGGGCGAAAGCCUGACGGAGCAACGCCGCGUGAGUGAUGAAGGUCUUCGGAUCGUAAAACUCUGUUAUUAGGGAAGAACAAAUGUGUAAGUAACUAUGCACGUCUUGACGGUACCUAAUCAGAAAGCCACGGCUAACUACGUG